CAUUAUAAGUACAAAUCUGGCCAUAAAGGCCCAAAGUGAAUGGCCAAUACCCUCAUCCCAUAACCCCAAUAACCUAAUAAACUUAGGGUCUUCUUCUUCUUCUUCAGACCGGGAACACCUUAAGAACCCUAGAGAAGGAGAGCCCUAGCUGUCACCUUCACCAAGAGACCCGUCACUGCUGUUCUUCUUAUUCAACCGCCCACCAGCUUCUUACCAACCACACGCACACAGACAUCCAAACGACCACCCUCAUCUCCUCCAUACUAAAGUAACACAAAAACACACACACUCCAAUUCCAGCGGAGACCCCUG
rnacentral:lncRNA from 1 species